rnacentral:tRNA from 1 species
CGUCAAGUAGCUCAGUGGUUUAGAGCAGUCGCCCGGCAGGCGAAAGACCCGGGUUCGGUUUCCGGUCUAGCGA